CCCCCCAGUGACCAGUAUUGUUCAAAAAUGAUAUCUCCAAACUAAGACCGAGUACUGCAAUCACAUAAGAUGCAUUGAUGCAGCAGCCUAUGUUACAAUCAUAUUUGCCCGUAGAGUUACCAUAAUAAUUAAAGAAGCGUACGGAAAAGUUUCAAUUGCUGUAAACUCCUCCCUCUCAUAAAAAAGGAACGUAAUAAAACCAAAACAAAUCUAUCAAAAAAUGUUAAAAACCAAAAUCCAAGCAACUCUUGCAAACAUUCCAAUCUUUCUCAAAGAGAGUUAAUUCCAAAACACAAAAAGGCCAAAAAAGAGUGCGAAAUAUAACAAAAAAUGGCGAAAAGACAUCUACGACAAAUUUUAAGAAUUGUAUUCAAAGUAAGCUCACCGAUUCCUCCUGAGAAGCGGCGAACGGAAAAACUGAACGUUCCCGAAAAUUUCGUCCCCGUAAUGGAACCAGAUUAACGCCAAGCCCUCUGGGCUGAACUACUCGGGCUACAAUAGAUAAUUUAUUGUAAUUGUGCGAUUUGGGCAGGGCUUGAAAUCCUAGCGAAGAGGGCGGUGAAUAACACAACGCCAUUGUAGAAGGAGAAUAAGCUCAGUUCAAGCUAGGGUUUUGAAUUAUAUAAUUGAGUCUAUUCGCUCAUUGGAGUAACAAAUAGCUGAGGAAAACAGUGCGUGACGGUCACUAAGGUACGCCGAGGAGCGCUAUACACGAUACCUUCG
rnacentral:lncRNA from 1 species